rnacentral:rRNA from 1 species
UUCCUACGGGACGCAGCAGUGGGGGAUAUUGCACAAUGGGGGGAACCCUGAUGCAGCGACGCCGCGUGGGUGAAGGAGUGCUUCGGCAUGUAAAGCCCUAUCGGCAGGGAAGAAGCAAGACGGUACCUGACUAAGAAGCCCCGGCUAACUACGUGCCAGCAGCCGCGGUAAUACGUAGGGGGCAAGCGUUAUCCGGAAUUAUUGGGCGUAAAGAGUACGUAGGUGGCAACCUAA